rnacentral:rRNA from 1 species
AUUGAACGCUGGCGGCAGGACUAACACAUGCAAGUCGAACGAGUGGCGGACGGGUGAGUAAUGUCUGGGAAACUGCCCGAGGGAGGGGGAUAACUACUGGAAACGGUAGCUAAUACCGCAUACCCUCGGAUGUGCCCAGAUGGGCUUAGCUAGUAGGUGGGGUAACGGCUCACCUAGGCGACGAUCCCUAGCUGGUCUGAGAGGAUGACCAGCCACACUGGAACUGAGACACGGUCCAGACUCCUACGGAAUGCAGCAGUGGGGAAGAUUGCACAAGGGGCGUGAGCCUAAGGCAGCCAUGCCGCGUGUAUGAAGAAGGCCUUCGGGUUGUAAAGUACUUUCAGCGAGGAGGCGUUACUCGCAGAAGAAGCACCGGCUAACUCCGUACCAGCCGCCGCGGUAAUUC